AAUGACAAAUGACAGAGAUAAUCGUAAUACAUUUCGUUAUAUCACAAGAAUUGAAAUUAAAUUAGUAUAGCUUGAUGUAAUCCACAGAUAUUGACUUCAAUAUUGAAUUCACGUCCGUGGAAUAUUUUUAAUCAGAUAUGCAUUACCAUAAAAUCUCCUCGCUUCUUUUCUGUGGCGAGUCGAGCUAGACAUGCGUGGUGGCUGGUAAGCUUUUCAUCCAGCUCGGUGAAAGCGCUGCCGGUGCACACGCAUCACGCACACACUUACACCAUACAACACACCCGCGAAGAUCCGUCCGGAUCUAAUAUAAUAAUUCACCGCGUUUAAAGUGGUUGCCGGAGUUGCCGGCGCGCCAACCGACUUGGAUGCGGUGUUACUAAUACAAGAGUCUCACCCGUUCCACGUUUCUGCGCUUCUUUAACCGACUGUGUGCAUGUUCAUGCAGACGAGCAGGGAAGUAACGCCGACAUACAUCGUAGUUACUGUCUUCCGUACGCAAAGCGCGUUCAUAACAUAAUAAUAUAAUAAUAUUGCAUGCGGGUACGAUGAGAGGGUGCUACGGCUCAUCCCAGGCCCUUUCCGUUUGGCAAAGCGCGUUCGCCGGCGUUUCCUUUGCCACCACGUCGGCUUUCCAACGCUUCGCUUCUAUCACAGGAGAGUUUUGCGAAUCAACAUCAUAAUAUUGAGCGCAUUAAUUAAGAAAUGUUCAUUUUGUUACGGAGAGCUUAAUGGAAUGUUUUAUUUUUGA